AAUUCAUAGUGAGAGCGAUUGCGAUCGCGAUUUAAGCCGCGAUUUCGCAGCGACUGAUCAGCUGGAUCGAUCGCAGCGAUUUACAUUCAUAGUGCUAAGCGAUUAUAUUAAUUCACAAAAUGAGAGCCGCCAUAUUAUUUCUCUUAUACAAAAUAAUAUUGAAGAGGAGGAGAUUAAACAAUCUUAAUAUUAAUUAAAGAAAAGAGGGCGAAUUUUACAUUCUCUUUCCUAAACUCUUAAAAAAUAAGGUUAAAUUUUUCAAUUAUAUGAGGAUGACCAAAGAAACCUUUUAUUACAUACUUGAGCAUGUAAAACCAAUAUUGCUUACAACAUCCACAAAUUUUAUAAAAUAUCCAAUAAGUAUUGAAGAAAAGCUAAUGGUUUGUUUAAGAUAUUUAGCUACAGGCUGUAGAUAUCCUACCUUAGCUUAUUCCUUCAAAAUGGGAAUAUCUACAAUCCAAAAAAUUGUUAGGACCACUUGCAAAGCUAUAUGACAAACUUUGGUGACCCAACAUAUGAUUACAGCUAACAGAAAAUUUAAUAUAAACAUGUACUUUACUCCAUAACAUUAUAAUUGAUAAGGAAAAAUAUAUUCCUAUCAACCUUAAAAA